GAAAUGCGAUAAGUAAUGUGAAUUGCAGAAUUCAGUGAAUCAUCGAAUCUUUGAACGCACCUUGCACCCUUUGGCAUUCCGAAGGGUAUGCUCGUUUGAGUGUCAUUGUACUCUCACACUCUCAAUCUUUUGAUUGGGAGUGGUGGACUUGGGUGUUGCUGCUUUACUGUGGCUCGCCUCAAAUGGAGUAGUGCAACUCUUGGUUGGACAUAGUACGGCGUGAUAAGUGUCUUCGCCGGCACCUCACUUAGAGGGUGGCUGAUCGGGAGCUCUGUGCUUCAAACCGUCUUCGGACAACAUCUGACAACUUGACCUCAAAUCGAGUAGGACUACCCGCUGAACUUAA
rnacentral:misc_RNA from 1 species